GACUCCUAGUGGCGAACGGGUGAGUAACGCGUUGGUGACCUGCCCCGAAGCGGGGGAUAACAGUUCGAAAGGACUGCUAAUACCCCAUGUGGUCGUACAGGACUAGAUGCUUUGUGACUAAAGGAGCAAUCCGCUUCGGGAGGGGCCUGCGUCCCAUCAGCUAGUUGGUAGGGUAACGGCUUACCAAGGCUAUGACGGGUAGGGGGCCUGAGAGGGUGGUCCCCCACAUUGGCACUGAAACACGGGCCAGACACCUACGGGUGGCAGCAGUAGGGAAUAUUGCCCAAUGGGCGAAAGCCUGAGGCAGCAACGCCGCGUGCACGAUGAAGGCCUUCGGGUUGUAAAGUGCUUUUCUGGAGGAAGAGAACGGACGGUACUCCAAGAAUAAGGAUCGGCUAACUACGUGCCAGCAGCCGCGGUAAUACGUAGGAUCCGAGCGUUAUCCGAAUUUACUGGGCGUAAAGCGCGUGUAGGCGGUGCGGUAAGUUGGACGUGAAAGCUCCUGGCUCAACUGGGAGAGGUCGUUCAAAACUGCCGGACUAGAGGACGGUAGAGGGAGGUGGAAUUCCCGGUGUAGUGGUGAAAUGCGUAGAUAUCGGGAGGAACACCAGUGGCGAAGGCGGCCUCCUGGGCCGUUCCUGACGCUCAGACGCGAAAGCUAGGGGAGCAAACGGGAUUAGAUACCCCGGUAGUCCUAGCUGUAAACGAUGUGAACUAGGCGUUGGUGGGGUAAAAUCCAUCAGUGCCGAAGCUAACGCGAUAAGUUCACCGCCUGGGGACUACGGUCGCAAGGCUAAAACUCAAAGGAAUUGGCGGGGACCCGCACAAGCAGCGGAGCGUGUGGUUUAAUUCGAUAUUACGCGAAGAACCUUACCCGGGCUUGACAUAUAGGUGGUAGGGAUCCGAAAGGUGACCGACCCUUCGGGGAGCCUAUACAGGUGCUGCAUGGCUGUCGUCAGCUCGUGCCGUGAGGUGUCCGGUUAAGUCCGGUAACGAGCGCAACCCUUGCCGUAUGUUACAAGUGUCAUACAGGACUGCCGGCUUAAGGCCGGAGGAAGGCGGGGAUGACGUCAAGUCAGCAUGGCCCUUAUUGUCCUGGGCUACACACACGCUACAAUGGUCAGUACAAUAGGUUGCAAAACCGCGAGGUGGAGCCAAUCCAUAAAGCUGGCCUCAGUUCAGAUUGCAGGCUGCAACUCGCCUGCAUGAA
rnacentral:rRNA from 1 species